CCCCUAGUAACUGCGAGUGAAGCGGAAAAGCUCAAAUUUAAAUCUGGCGGUCUUUGGCCGUCCGAGUUGUAGUCUGGAGAAGCGUCUUCUACCCGGACCGUGUACAAGUCCCUUGGAACGGGGCGUCAUAGAGGGUGAGAAUCCCGUCCAUGACACGGACCGCCGGCGGUUUGUGAUGCGCUCUCGAAGAGUCGAGUUGUUUGGGAAUGCAGCUCAAACGGGUGGUA
rnacentral:rRNA from 1 species